GUUAUUUGAGGAUAGAACAGGCAGCUAUCACGCCCUUGGGGUCUUAAAAGAGAUGCCGGAGUGCCGUCCGGUUGAAUAAC
rnacentral:ncRNA from 12 species